rnacentral:misc_RNA from 1 species
AAGAUGAAUUUGCUCACUGAACUUCAAUUUCUAUUCAUAAAAUAACUAAGCUUUAAUUUUGUUUCAAUGAGAUUAUUGUUAGAUUUUGAUAGAACUUGUGCUGGAUUUUUUAUGUGAUAACCAAGUAAAAAACAAAAAAAUUCUAACUUCAUUCUACAAUUGUAGUUAGACUGUAAGAAUUUCUUAUACAAAAUUUUGGUAAGAGCAAUACGUUGUACUCUUUAGUCAAUUUUAUAAUAGACUUAAGCAUAGGAGUGAUUGCCCAAGCCAAUCCAUCAGUAUUUUCUCUCGUCUUGCAAGUCUAUAGGUGCAGGAAAAAUCCACGAAUAACACCAUGAAUGAUUUUGCUGAUGCAAAUUAUAGUUCAGCAACUUCGUUGAAAUUUACUGUUAAGUGACCAUGGGUGAAAUUAAACCCAUUGCUAUCCAAAAUGCUAAUGCUUCCAGAUUGUCAGGACCAGUAGGAAAAGGUGACUUUGUACUCUCUCUGUAUCCUAUCAUGACUGGCGUAGAAGAUGUGCUGCCUUCUAAAUCCAAACUUUGACAUAUGAUGAGCUUCCCUUAACGUUCUGUUCUGAAUUUGAUAGAUACUUGACUUAUGCCUCUCUUUGGAUGGUACAAACAUCCAGGUUAAGGUCUUUUUCAGUGAGGGCAUCCAGACUUUGGCCCUUGGGCCUUGGCUAAGUUGCUUUCAAUAAAUUAUCAAUAUACUUGAAACACAAGCUGUUAUAGACUCUCUUUAGUUUUUCUUGUGAAUGGUUACCUAUUGUAUUUGGGUUUGCUUAUUAAAAUUGAGGGAAGCGACAAAGGUG